GGUCUAGUAGUUUAAUUAAAACAUUUGGUUUGCAUCCGGAAAAUGAAGAUAUUAUCUUAGGCUA
rnacentral:tRNA from 1 species